UUAGCAAUAUCAAAUGCAUAGACACAUAAGUUCACUGGCUAUUUGUGAAAUGUUUACGUAAGAGUUAAAUUAGCUUUUUCAGAUUUGCAUUCUUUGCCUAUAUCGUCUCUGUCAACAGCUCCUGGGGAAGACAUGUUCAGAAUGCCUAGAUAUGUCCAUCCUCGAAUCCUAUUCCAUGACAAGUGCUAGGAUAAUCUCAUGGCGUGGAUGAAGAAGAUGGGGAUCUUUGGCAUAGGUUGAUGGAAUUGAGAGCCUAACCGCUAAGCUGACGAAACCUCUUCACUAAGCUCCAGAUCCAUUCAUCAUUCCCCAAACUAAUAUUUUUCUGGUUCUUGUGUUUGGUGAUGUGUUCUUCUGAUCGACUACAUGAUCCUGUAUUUCUGUAUUAAGUUCCUUGAUGAGUUUAUCAAAACAAUGCAAUUUUAUAAAAUAUAUUUUUCCAUCGCUUUUGCUUGCAGAGCGCAAAUAAGGAAUCAAAAGGAGGUACUUUACAGGUUGCCAAAACUGAAGAUAUAAAGGCCGGGGUGAUUUGGGAGAUACGAAGCAAAUUGUUGUGUCCUUCAUCAACUGAAAGGUAUGUUGCCUGUAGCUCAUGGUUUACAUAGCAAUGUAUAUUUAUAAUUUUGUUUGGGGAUUGAUGUUGUGAUGCAAUUCAUGUGCAUGAUCUCCUGCACUUUACAUCCAUUUAAUAUAUAAAGGUGGGUACAUAUAUCUAAUUGAUAGUUCUAUAGUCUCGGCGGGUACACUUUGUGGUGAAGUCCUUUCAGUUCAUAUUUUA